GGGCCCGUAGUCUAGCUUGGUAGGAUGCCCGCCUCACGCGCGGGAGAUCCCGGGUUCAAGUCCCGGCGGGCCCACCA
rnacentral:tRNA from 3 species